rnacentral:rRNA from 1 species
GAGUGAACGCUGGCGGUAGGCCUACCCCAUGCAAUUCGAACGGCAGCCCAGUAAUUUCUUGCUCUUACGUGUGGCGAGUGGCGGUCGGUUGAGUAAUUCAUCGUAAUCUUCUUUUUCGUUGUGGUUAACGUAGUGAAACUUACGCUAAUACCGCAUACGUCCUACGUGUGAUAGCAUGGUAUCUUCGGUCCUUUCUCGAUUUAUUGAUCCGAUGUCGGAUUAGCUAGUUGGCGGGGUAAAGGCCCACCAAGGCUACGAUCCGUAGAUGGUCUGAGAGGAUGAUCAGACACACGGGAAGUGAGACACGGACCAGACUACUACGGGAGGCAGCAGUGGGGAAUAUUGGACAAUGGGCGCAAGCAUGAUCCAGCAAUACCGCGUGGGUGAAGAAGGACUUAGGGUUGUAAAGCCCUUUUGUUGGGAAAGAAAAGAAGCAGGUUAAAACCCCGAUGUUCUGACGGUACCAAAAGAAUAAGCACCGGCUAACUUCGUG